rnacentral:lncRNA from 1 species
AACAAUUGCACACGCACUCGCCGCCCGCCCGCUCGCACAGCGCUGGAACACGCGCGCCCAGACACGCACACACGCACGCACACACACUCGCACACACGCAGAGGCACGGGGGGGAAAGAAGCCGAUGAAUAAUUUUGCUGCUAUUUUUUAAAAUACUGGCCGCCAUCAUCAAGCAGCGAGCAGCAGCGGCUGGAAAGGAGAGCAGGCAUGGGGCAGGCCCCUCUUAGGAGAGGAUUUAUAUCUAGUUGGAAAAAAAAAGAAAGAAAAGAAAAAGAAGAAAAAGAAGAAAAAAAUUGUCAAGCCCCCGAACUGGAGGUUACGAGCAGCCCGUCAGCAGCCCACAUGUAACCGAACUGUCGUGUUUCAUGGCUUUUUGCCACUCCAGAUGUCAAUCAGAGCCCGGAAUGUCAAGGUAGUGAAUGAGUGAUGCUUGACGAUGAUGAAGAGGAGGAAUCUCUCAGACCCGUUUUUUUUCUUCCAGUAAAACUCCACGAGGGGUUUCUGCUUCUUGAAUUUUUUCCUCCCCCCUCCCCCCUUUUAGCUUGGCCCCCGCGAUGUCGCUAAUAGGAUACUCUCUCUUUAAAGUAUUGUUCAAAAAAAAACGGGGAGAAAAAUCAAGAAAAAAUCGAAUAGUUUGCAGAAAUUGGACUUCCUCCCCCCCCUCCUGGUAGGUAUUUUGUCUCUCCCUCUCUCGCGCGCGCUCGCUCGCUCGCUCUCACUCGCGCUCGCUCUCUCUCGCUCGCUCGCUCUCUUUCUCUCUCUGGGAGAUGAGUGAGUGUCAGUAGGUGUUGGCAGGUUGGUUGCUGCCGGGCUUAUAGAAGAGCCUGGCUUUGGCGGCGUGGGUCGGCGGCGGGAGAACGCAGUGACGGAACCCGGAAGUCGUGGUGGCCAUAGCCCGUCGCGCGGCGGAGACGCAUCCCGGGAGUGGGAGCGGGAGCGAGGAGAGCGCGCGGCGCGGAGCCUCUGAUAUGCAGCGAGUGCGGGCGGCCG